rnacentral:siRNA from 1 species
CUUCAAGGUGAUGUUGUUGCG